UAUUAUUUUUAUAGCUUGAAUUUUGAUUAAUUAAUGAGUAUGAAUUCUGAAAUUUCGUUCAAACUGGGUUGAGGAGUUUGCACCUUUUAAUUUUCGAAAUAUUGACGUUUGUGCUAUCGUAAGGCGACAUAGGUAAGGUUUUGAUAGUUUAAUUCAAGGAUAAAAUACUAUGGUAUGUUGUUGAUGAAGGGAUCAAAACCUAAGUUAUAUAAUGUUGAAUUUUGAUGGUUAAUGGAUUGAAAGGGACAUGGAUAUUGGUUAUAUGAUACAUAGAAACGCAUUUAGAAUAGGAAAACGAAAGAAAAUCGGACUUUAGGCAUCAAAAUGGAAAGGGUUUGAAAUCUGGACCUUCAAUAUCUAUGGGAUGUGUAUUUAUAUUGGUUAAUUUGAUAGUGUGUUUAGAAUCUACGUCGAAAACUGGAGCCAACGCCAUUUUUCGAGAAUUUUCCGACGUCGUUUCGACAACUUUCAGUUUUUGGGGGAUUGUUCCCAAAAAUCCCUAAGUUAAAAGUCUAUAUAAUUAGAGGUUAACUAAGGUAAUUGGGAAUUCCUAAUCUUGAUUAGUGAGGUGAGUAAGGAAUGUACGUAAAGUCGUUAGAAGUGAAUCAGAUGUCGGUACCCUACAGUCGAAUGUAUCGAAAAAAGGGCAUUAGUAGAUAAUAUGGUUAUUGAUUUAAGUUUGAUAAUUUGAUUAUGGAAAUAUAAUUUAGAAUAAAUAUAAAGGUUAAUGUGAAUUUAUGAGAAUUUUAGAAAUUCGGUAGGGGGCCGAGAGCCGAUAAAAUUGAAAAUACGGGCGCAACGGUUAAGGAAUGAGAUAAUAAGACGUAUGUUCAUAAUUAUGUGAAUAAAUGACUUAUAGUUUGAUAUUUAUAUAAUGUGUAAAGGCGAAUAGAUAUAUAGUAAGAAGAUCACUAAGGAAUGGACUUAGAAGGUAGCGAAGCGUCGAAAGGUGAUAAAGGCUUAUGUUUAUAAGCCUACGAGGUUACAGUUGAUAUUAUGUCAGUGGUGUUGAGCAGCUUUGCAUCUUUGGCGAGUCACUGGUGGUCAACUUGGUUUAGUAGUCGUGGCAUGUUGUGUAAUAGUUUAAUCUUUAAUCUUCCGCUGGAUAAAUGUUAAGUUUUUUUUAAAUGUAAUUGAUUUUAAUUGUGCUUUUAACUAAAAAAAAAAGGAAAAUUUCAGCAA